GAACGCUGGCGGCGUGCCUAACACAUGCAAGUCGAACGAAGCAAAUUAACGGAAGUUUUCGGAUGGAAGUUGAAUUGACUGAGUGGCGGACGGGUGAGUAACGCGUGGGUAACCUGCCUUGUACUGGGGGACAACAGUUAGAAAUGACUGCUAAUACCGCAUAAGCGCACAGUAUCGCAUGAUACAGUGUGAAAAACUCCGGUGGUACAAGAUGGACCCGCGUCUGAUUAGCUAGUUGGUAAGGUAAGGGCUUACCAAGGCGACGAUCAGUAGCCGACCUGAGAGGGUGACCGGCCACAUUGGGACUGAGACACGGCCCAAACUCCUACGGGAGGCAGCAGUGGGGAAUAUUGCACAAUGGGCGAAAGCCUGAUGCAGCGACGCCGCGUGAGUGAAGAAGUAUUUCGGUAUGUAAAGCUCUAUCAGCAGGGAAGAAAAUGACGGUACCUGACUAAGAAGCCCCGGCUAACUACGUGCCAGCAGCCGCGGUAAUACGUAGGGGGCAAGCGUUAUCCGGAUUUACUGGGUGUAAAGGGAGCGUAGACGGUAAAGCAAGUCUGAAGUGAAAGCCCGCGGCUCAACUGCGGGACUGCUUUGGAAACUGUUUAACUGGAGUGUCGGAGAGGUAAGUGGAAUUCCUAGUGUAGCGGUGAAAUGCGUAGAUAUUAGGAGGAACACCAGUGGCGAAGGCGACUUACUGGACGAUAACUGACGUUGAGGC
rnacentral:rRNA from 1 species